rnacentral:lncRNA from 1 species
CCAGUAUCUAUCUGGUGAAUGUAUCUCUUAGGUUAAAAACUGAAUUUUAAGAAGAACAACUAAGAAAAUUGGUUACUAGUAGAUCUUACCCUCAAAGGAAGGCUAAAGGAGACUCUCCACUGGGAAAUGGAAUGAUAACAGAAGAAACUUCAUAUAACAAAGACCACAGAAUGAGUGAAACACAACAGCCUAUCCCUCAUAUGCUUCUUAAAUACCCUGGAUGGCUGAAGCAAGAGCUAAAAUCUCAUCAACUGUGAUCAACAUACUUGGAGGGAAAAUCUGGAGACAGCUACAUUCUGGAGGUAAAUCAAAGUGGAAGGCUGCUACAUGUCACUGGAAGUGGUGUGGCUUUCCUUCCUAGAGCCUGGGAUGGUUCUGCCAUGUGUGUCUGCCCACCUCUUGUCUUUGGGAAGCUGUCC